rnacentral:lncRNA from 1 species
AUGAUAUGGACAGCUGCUGCACAUUCCACUCUUCGUACUCCCAUGACGAGCCGACCAAACAAGGCCUUUGCCCUCUUCAUCACUUUGUUUCCAUGCGUAGGUUCAGGUCCAUCUUCCCAAAACUUGUAGCCUGGAGAAAGGAAGGCUGAGGGAUGAUUUAAUAAAUGUCUCCACGUUGAGAAGCAGCAUGGCUCAGUGGAAAGAGCAUGGGUUUAAGAGUCAGAGGUCAUGGGUUCUAAUCCCAGCUCCGCCACCUGUCAGCUGUGUGACUUUAGACAAGUCACUUCACUUCUCAGUGCCUCAGUUACCUCAUCUGUAAAAUGGAGAUGAAGACUGUGAGCCUCACGUGGGACAACCUGAUUACCCCAGCGCUUUGAACGGUGCUCGGCACAUAGUAAGUGCUUCACAAAUACCAACAUUAUUAUUAUUAAUAUCUAUGACUGGUUUUAUGGGAAAGAUGUUGACCAGCUGUCUGCCUGAUCUGAGGAAUGAGUCUCCAUUGCAGCAGGAGAGAUUUGGGGUAGACAAGAGAAAUAACUUCCUGAUUGCCAUGGGAAUUAGGCAUUGAAACAAUCCCUGUUAACCAAGGUCCUACUGUUUACAAAGUGCCAUACCGGGUGUCUAUUGUCAGGCAGAACAUUACACUGGGACACCUAUCGUUUGCCUACUUUACUAGGCAUUUAACAUAUACAAAAGAAGUAAACGACAGAAUCUCUGCUCUCACAUUGCUUACAGUUUAUUGGAAUGGACUGGUGAAGAGGGUUAUGGGAAGUUUCAGAAGUUACAGAGACAGGAGGUCAGACUAGAUGAUUGAUAUAAAUCUCAAUUCUGUUUCACUUGGGCUUGCAGAUCCAGUCAUGGGUUGGGAUGACUGCAGCUCAUCUUUCCUGCUGUGAAUUACAGCCCAGAGGGAAGGUACCGGCUGGGUUUUGUGUGUAUUUCUGUGUGUGUGUUGGGGGGAGGGGGGACAGUACUUGUUAAACACUAUGUACCAGGCACUGUACUAACCACAAGCGAAAAUACAAGCUAAUCAGGUUGGGCACAGUCUCUGUCCCUGAUGGGGCUCACAGUCUUCAUUCCCAUAUUACAGAUGGAGUAGUUGAGGCAUAGAGAAUUUAAGUGACUUGCCCAAGGUCUCACAGCAGACAAGUGGCAGAACCUAGGUCCUUCUGACUUUGAGGCCCCUGCUCUAUCCCAUAGGCCAUACUGCUUCUCUUUGUUUUAUAGGGCUAAGGGAGAUGUGGCUUGGCCUUCUCCCU